GACGAACGCUAGCUACAGGCUUAACACAUGCAAGUCGAGCGACCGGCGCACGGGUGAGUAACGCGUCUCCACCCUACGCAUUACUGUGGGAUCAGCUGCCGAAAGGCAGACUACUACCGCAUAGUAAUGGAUGGGGGUGCGGUGGAUUAGCUUGUUGGCGGGGUAACGGCCCACCAAGGCAACGAUCAGUAGGGGUUCUGAGAGGAGGGCCCCCGAGAGUGGAACCGCGACACGGUCCAAACCCGUAGGGGGGGCAGGAGUAAGGAAGAUUGGGGAAUGGGGCCGAGCCUGAACCAGCCAAGUAUGGUGCAGGAGGUCGGCGUAGGGGUUGUAAACUGCUGUUGUAGGAGGAUAGGUACCAUACGAAUAAGGACCGGCUAAUUCCGUGCCAGCAGCCGCGGUAAUAC
rnacentral:rRNA from 1 species